UUCCUAAAAAAAAAAAACAUAUUGAAAAAAUGUAUAAAAAGCCUUUUUAAAGUAUUUUUUCCAAGAUGUGAUGUAGUUCAACAAAGUACUGCUGUGCAUUUAUUCACUUAUGUUAUUUCCUCCUGAAUAAUGCGUUUAUCAAAAGUUAAUUGAGUGACACAGCGGGAUGCCGUGGUCAGUGCUGAUGAAACCGCUCCUUGCUGCAAACUAUUUCCACGUGAUCUAUAUAGGUCAACUUAUCAAGAUUUUGAAAAACCGGGCAGCAUUCUUGAAAGACAAAGAACAGGAUUUAGGGAAUAUUUUACAUCACCGUAUGAAGCUGUUUGCAAAGACUAAAUAUUAUUUGGUACCUCUUUAAAGAUUACAUUAAUGAGAGGAAUAAGGCAAAAUGAGGUUUGCUACACACCGUCCUGGAGGGAUUUACCGGAGUUUAAUUCUUUAAGAAGAAAACAAAGAAGUCCAAGUGCCAAACAGAUGAUUUCCAAAGGAAGAAAGAUAUUGUGAUUUUUUUUCCUAAUUUCAAUUGUGUCAAAUCUUCUCUGUUAAGAAGACUGUUAUUGACUGGGUGGAUGUAAAAAAGAGGUCAUGGAUUACAUUUGUGAAAUAUAUAGUUUAAACCACAAAUCUUCUCUGUUAAGAAGACUG